GCGAUAUCAGACCAAGAGGUUGUAUUUCAAGUUUGGUCAAUCACAACUAAAUCAUUCAUCAUCUUCUGAUUUCAUUUCUAUUUUUCAUACAAAGAAUCAGUGAUACACGUGAUUAGAAUUAAAUGAUGGUCGUGCAAAAGAAUUAGAAACAGCAAUCAACAGGCCCACACCAUUAGAUCUAUUCCCCCAAACACAAGUCGAACAAAUGAAUCAUAACUUAGAGAGGAAAUCUGAGAGUAAAGUCACAACCACUACAUAUCAUAACUAUAUGUAGGUCAUAUACAUAUCUGCUGCCAACAAAAUUGAAAUAUAAACGUACCAUUUUCUUGAUUCAAUAUUAAUAUUGUGCUAUUAAUGUGUUAGUUACAUCAUUGAGGAACUCAUCCAGAACUGCAUAGCAUAAAUAUGAUUAAUCUUGUGAGAAACCAAAAUGUUGGAGUGAUCAAAUUGGAAAUACUUGGAAGAAGUAAAAUCCAAAAUGAUCACUCAAGGAUCAAGUUGGUGAUCAAAUUGGAAACUACUUGGAAGAAGUAAAAUCCAAAAUGAUCACUCAAGGAUCAAGUUGGUGAUCAAUUUGGAAGCUACUUGUUAGAAGAAAAUUUCAAAAUGAUCACCACUUCAUCCUUUCCUAAGCCUAUAAAUAUGUGAGGAGGUUGAAAGGAGAAUUUAUUCAAAAACACAUCAACAUCACAAGCUCUCCUUUCACUCUCUAAACUAAUUCUCUCAUUCACAUAUAGUCACUUUAGGAGCAUCGUCUCCUCAUUUUCUCAAAACUCCGAAAGUUCGCCGGUGUCUAGUGAGUUUGAGGUGCUUCUACUCACUAGGACGAAGUCGUUUUAUCUUUGGGGACAUUAUGCUAAUCCGUGAGCACUAGCUGAGGCGUAAUUUGUCUUGCAGAAAGAGGGUUUUCCUCGACUCGACUUAUAGUUAGUACGGUUAUUUUCUAUUUUUGUUGUAAUUUCCAUUUCACCUGUAUUUGUAUUGCUCUUCGGUUGUAAUAGUUAGAGUACUGCCUGUAAACGGCUCGGGAAUUUUCCCAAUUUUAUCCAACAGUCAGGACGUAAUUCUUGCACAAGAAAUCGCCUUGAUGCCAAACAUCAUAGGCAUUCCGGACAUGGAAGUCCGUCUCUUCCUCAGAUACGACUAGCGCAUCUUCCGUGAGGAAGUUGGCAACACCUAACGUAGUUAGGUAGAACAACAUCUUUUGUUGCCAACGUUUAAAUUCAGAGCCCUUAAAUUUCUCUGGCUUAUCGGCAUGAGGCAUCACCCUCGAGGUCGAAACAGGUGUCAACACCGACGUUUUGGCAGUAGAAAAAGUAGAUCAAUUUUGUUGGUGUUCGUUUCCUCCAGCUCCAUGUUUUCCGUUCAUCGUAACUUCGGUCGACAUCACCUAGAGUACAACUAAUUUGUCUUGCGACUGUUGGAUAAAAUUGGGAAAAUUCCCGAGCCGUUUACAGGCUACUCUAACUAUUACAACCGAAGAACAAUACAAAUACAAGUGAAAUGAAAAUUACAACAAAAAUAGAAAAUAACCGUACUAACUAAUAAAAAUAGAAAAUAACCGUACUAACUAUAAGUCGAGUCGAGGAAAACCCUCUUUCCGCAAGACAAAUUACGUCCCGGCUAGUGCUCACGGAUUGGCGUAGUGUCCUCAAAGAUAAAACGACUUCGUCCUAGUGAGUAGAAGCACCUCAAACUCACUAGGCACCAGCGAACUUUCGGAGUUUCGAGAAAAUGAGGAGACGAUGCUCCUAAAGUGGCUAUAUGUGAAUGGGAGAAUUAGUUUAGAGAGUGAAAGGAGAGCUUGUAAUGUUGAUGUGUUUUUGAAUGAAUUCUCCUUUCAACCUCCUCACAUAUUUAUAGGCUUAGGAAAGGAGGAAGUGGUGAUCAUUUUGAAAUUUUCUUCUAACAAGUAGCUUCCAAAUUGAUCACCAACUUGAUCCUUGAGUGAUCAUUUUGGAUUUUACUUCUUCCAAGUAGUUUCCAAUUUGAUCACUCCAACACAAAAUAAACUAGAAAGGGGGAAACUGGAAACAUGAGAAGCAACACCCUCUAGUUCCUUUGUGGAUGAUCAAUUACUAAGUUGCAUUUAUAGAUAGCAUUAAAGUAGCUUCAAAGUUGGAGUUUGCAUAGCACAAGUUGAAGUGUAGAAAAUAACUUCUACUUGGGUUGAGCAGAGCAAUGUUCCAUAGCUUCAUUCCAGCAAUUGGAAAUGAUAACUACUAGUGGAGUGGAUAAUUCUUAGCUUUAUGUCUCUUUCCUUCUCUCUGUCUCCUCAUUCCUCUUUAUUGGCAUAUCAAUUGCUCUUUUUAUCCAGCUUCUUCACAAACUCAGCCACUCCCCUACUGUUUCAUUAUACUGUUGUAAACCCUAACCACUAACUAUGUAACCAAAUUAAUUAAAAGGCAUCACGUACAAUAGACAUCCCAAGACAAGGAAGUUUGGCUUAACCAGUUUUUGAUAUACUAAUAUAUUUCAUGUCUAAGUCGUGAAGUUUUAUGGUCAGGAAAAAUAAAUGGCACAAGGAACUUAUCUAGAGUUAUAUCUUCAUGUCUAAAUCGGGAAUAUCGUAAAAUAUUGUAGUCCAUAGUCAGAAAAUGAAAUGGCACCUAGGUCACAUUUUUAAUAGCCAGAAAAUUGUCAAUAUUAAUUCCUCAAUGAAGAAUCUUGGCAUGAGAAGGCCGAGGAGAAAUCGAAGCAUAGCUUGAAGCUGAAAUGCUCUUCCAGUUUGGAAUUGAACAGGGAAACAGGGGAAAGGCUGAAUGAGAUGGGACUGAAUGGGAUGCUCCCACUCUAAUGAUUCCCACCAUUCUCUCUCUUCUUCGAGUAUCCAGAUUUCUUCGAGAGAUGGUGGAGGCGAACAAUGAUACAAGCCUUCAUCGAGGAUGCUCGACAGUCGUGGCAGCUGAAUCAAGUAUACCUGUCUCAACCGGGGAAGAGAGACAACGGAUGCUACUGCUUCUCCUCUUCCGGUGCCAUCUGUUGUUUCUGUUAUCUCCUGUAUCUCAUCACAGUUCCUA